UCUUACGAGCUUUCGCUGCCGAAGCGCAUCCUACAAUAUAUUCUCUUUCAUAUUCUAUUUUGUAAAAUAAAAUUUUCUUAUUUUUUGUUUGUGUAUAAUAAAACAAAAAUUUAUUGGAUAUUAAUUAAAAAAUAAAAAUUAAUUGCAAAAUCUAUAUUUACGUGUAAUUGAAAUUAAAUUAAUGGAAAAUACAAAACAUCAACGAAAGAUCGGUUUCAUUGCACGAGUGAAUUUAUUCGGUGGAAUUUUUAUUUUAAACUACUGUGAAAUGUAAAAUUCGUAUUUCUUCAAGAUGACGAUGAUAAUAAGGAUAAAAAAAAUAAGAUCUUAAUAAAGAUAAAAAUAGAAACGAGAAUGAUUAGAAAAGAAAUUGGUAAACAAUUACAAGCAAUUCGAUCAGAAAUUUAAUUUUCUAAAAUUGGUUAUAAAAAAAAAAAAAAAGUAACAAUGAGUAAAGAGGAAAAUAGUGAUGGUGGUCCUCAAGAAGCUGAUGGAGAAAAUAAAUCUCCGGAAAAUAAUGAAAAUACGGAUAUUUUUGAAAAUCAAACUAGCAAGAAAAUAAUACGUUUAUUCACCGUAAUGGCUUACAUGUUCUCUGUAAGUUUCGUAGCCAUUGCCUUAAGUGCAUAUUAUUUAAUUCUUUGGAAACCUCCAGAUCCAAGGCUUCUACGGAAACCGAUUCAAUUUUUAUCUGAACCCGAAAUGCAAUUCUUAUUAAGCGAUCAAAUAAUUUUAGAAAACGAAUCUGCGAAAGAAUCUAACAACAAACAUUCGCUUUCCGGUCGUACCGGCAAAAAAAAUCUUUUCCAUAAUUACGAUCACAUGAAAACGCCCAAUGAAAAAUUGAAUGAAUCUUUGAUCCUAUUGAGAAACUCUUUGAUUGAAUCUUUACAAAAUAGAAUCAAUGAUUCGAAUUCUUUUGCUCGAGAUUCUCCUCGAGAAAAAUGGACGAAUUCUAAUUUCUUUAAUUACAGUUCGUUUGAAAAAGAAAAUACGUCAAACUUGACGAGAAAAUCAAGCGAAAAAGAUGCAAGACAUUCCUCUAAAAUUAUGAAUCGUAUAUUUAGUAAUAAUGGUACAUCCCAGACAUUGGAAUUUCCGACUAUUCCUGGAGAUGAAGCGAAACGCGAUCAUUUUACAACUGUUAGAAAUUACUCCUUGUAUCUUGAAUCAUCUCGAGAUACUUUUCCAUUGAACGAUUUGACGAAAAAAACUGCUGAAAAUCAAAAGCAAUACAAGAAAAAUGUUCCAUCUAAUUUUAAAACAAGAAUGGAAACAUUUGAUAAAAAAAAAGAAAAAGACAAAAUGACUCGAUAUUUAAGAGAUAAUUCAUUCGAUGAAGGAUUUGUAACGAUAAUGGAUAAAAAAAAUCGUGAUAUUCAAGAAAAUAAAGAAAAUCUUGAAUAUAAUGUGAAACCUGCGAUCAAUUUGAACAGAGUAAUUAGUACAGAUACUUCUAAUAAUUUUGAAUUUGCAAAUCGUUUACAACACGAGCGAUCAUUAAUGAAAUUAGCAGAUUUCGCGUUAAAAUUCAAAGAACAUUUUUCUCUCAACGAAUCCCGUAAAGUUGAGCAACCCUUGAAGCCUGUAAAACGAAGCACAAUGAGUCAAGGUUCUUAGACUUGCGCAGUGAAAGCUCGUUGAUAUCAUUGGACGAACAUAUUUAAUAGUUAUACUAGUAAAUGUUGAUUUAUUAGUCAAAAACGAAAAUAGUAAUAAAACGAUGGAAAUGUCAACAUAAGAAAAUGGAUUACGCAUCCUUGAAAUUUCAUAUUCUUUUUAAUAAAUAAAUUAUCGUGAAGUUUAAAUAUUUUUUUGCAACAUCUAUUAUAUUCGCUUGGGAACGCCCCACUGAAACGCAGGUAGAAAAAAUGACAAAAUCGAUGACAAUAGCGAAUGAACAAAUUUCUUCAUCGGAAAUUAUGAGUACUCCUCAACAA
rnacentral:misc_RNA from 1 species